GGUAGGGGAGGGCUCACCUCUCCAGGUUGAAACGAUGGCGGUCAGAACCGCCUGAGGUAAAAACGGGUGGCACUGGGGAAGCGGAGGCGUAGCUCCCGAGAGCCUCACACUUGUGCUCAGUGCCGCCUCACCCCUGGUGGAUCCGCGAUGGCCGCGGAUUCCCCUGGAUUGCCGGCGCUGGGCAGGAGCGCCACUUCUAAUCUCUCCCGAGACUGGACGCCCGGCGCCUUCCACGCGCGUUGUGUCUUUCCGGGCGGUCCCUCGAAGCUGGCUACCCCGCGGGCUGUUGACUGCAGUGGGAUCUGGUCACUCAGAUGCGGAUAGAGGGCUAAAUGCAAGAUGGUAUGGCAUCCAGACUCUGCUCAUAAGUAUCUGCAGUGAUCCAUACCUUGAUUGUACAUCUACUCUGCAUCCUGAGGACCUGAACAUGCUAACUGGUGGCUGCAGAUUUGUCUUCUAAGGAGCAAGUGUGGUCUGUGGACAGGCAGCUUCAGCCUCACCUGGGAUUUUGUUUGCACUAGAAAGUGCCAAGCCCUACCCUAGACCUAUUAAAGCAGAACUGGCGUUUAACAAGACACCCCAGAAUUAUGAAAACUAAAGCUAUUUACAGCUUUUAACAAUUGAGUAAAGUAUACUGUUACCAGAAUUGGGAGCAUAUUUGUUUCUCUCUACCUGGUUUCUCCAGAAUUUGGAAACUAUUUAGUCACUGAAAACUAAGCUGUGUUUUCUUAAAACCCUGCAAACUGAAGCCAGACAACUUGAACUUCAGAAGAAAAUAACAGCAACCUAUUUACGUACAUAAGCCACUUUCAUACCUGCCUACUAAUGUAUGGACUUCAGAGUAAUGUGGCUUAUAUCGAUUUUUCUAGGAUUGUUCUUUUGUUUGUUGUUGUUUUUUCUCCCUUCCUCCCUGCUAUUUUCUCUUCACAGAAUGUGAGACUUCACAACCUACUAAAAAUGAGCUUUUGGGACUUACCCAUCUAGGAAUAAACCAUCAUAGCUAUGAGAAAUCAGAUGAAGCCUGAGACCAGAGACUCAUUUUUUUGCAAAAUGCUUUCUCCGACAGAUUUUACAAAAGAAAAGUGGUGGGGGGCAGGCACAGUGGCUCACACCUGUAAUCCCAGCACUUUGGGAGGCCGAGGUGGGUGGAUUACCUGAGGUCAGGAGUUUAAGACCAACCUGACCAACAUGGUGAAACCCCGUCUCUAUGAAAAAUACAAAAAUUAGCCAGGCAUGGUGGUGGGCACCUGUAGUCCCAGCUACUCGGGAGGCUGAGACAAGAGAAUUGCUUGAACCCAAGAGGCGGAGGUUGCAGUGAGCUGAGAUCACGCCACUUCAGUCCAGCCUGGGCGAU
ensembl:lncRNA UBAC2-AS1 UBAC2 antisense RNA 1